UUAGAACAAGCGAAUUUGUAUAAUAUACACGUAUUUUAAAGCUGCAACAAUUGAAGAUUGUCAAAAUGUGGCGUCUUAUAUUUUGCAUUGCUGCCAUAACUGAAUUCUCUUUUGCGAAAGAUGGAGUAAAAAAACCAUUGUAUGACCUUAACAAUUCUAUUGAAUUAUUCGAAAAAUUUACAAGAUGUAAUAACCUACGAUAUACGGACAGAGAGGAUAGAAGGAGACACUUGACAGCAUUCAGGAAAAUGUUAGAACGCAUUAGAGAAGGUUUCAUCCCCUUGUGCAUUAACGAGUUCGCUGACUCUACGUCUGAUGAAAUAAAAAAUGUCGUUUUUGGAAAUCCCACUAAAGGUGUUAAAACAGCAUAGAGAAUUACUAAAGUAGGAUUAAAUGCAAGAAAAAAAAGAAAAGGACACAUGCAAAAAAAAUUCUAUAUGACUUUGACGUUGGAGCAAUUCGUCAAGAAAUUCGGCACUUUUAUUUUGUGAAAAAUUAAUUGCCGUCGUUCAAUAAAUUGCGUUUAGAAUUUAA